rnacentral:lncRNA from 1 species
CCCAGGCAAAGUGUGCUAAGUCUUUGGUAAAACAGAUUGCUGUGACACAAGCUGAGAUUUUUCAAGUAGCCCGCGAGGAGCAGUAAAAAGCCACCCAGGGACUACCACAGGAAAUCCAAGCUUUCUCUGAAAAGCUGAAUGGAGACCCUGAUGGAAGAUAUCAGGGGCCAAAGGUGAUUCGGGCGAGCCACUACCUUCAGAAAAUAACUGCAUCAGAUGAUGUUGAGGCAUACCUUCUGGCAUUUGAACGCACUGCUGAGAGGGAGGGAUGGCCGGCUGAGCGGGCAAGCAUACUGGCACCAUUCCUAAGUGGAGAGCCACAGAAGGCAUACUAUGACCUAGAACCAGCGGAUGCAAGUAACUACAGCAAAUUGUAAGCUGAAAUCUUGGCACGACUGGGUGUAACCCCUGAAGUACGUGCCCAAAGGUUCCAUUCAUGGUCAUAUUCUUCUGAUAAAGCCGCACGUUCCCAAAUGUUUGACCUCAUACACCUCGCAUGGAAAUGGCUGCAACCUGAAAUCCAUUCAGCUAGCCACAUAGUGGAAACCUUUAGUAAUGGACCGGUUUUUGCAUGGUUUACCAGGUGCCCUGCGUCGCUGGGUCAGCCAAUGUGAUCCCCAUACAGCAGACCAGCUGAUUGCUUUGGUGGAAAGAUAUGUGGCUGCAGGAGAACUGCUACGUCCCCCUUCACAGGAAAACCCCUGCAAUCCUAUGCCCAAGAUUCUACAAGACCUGGUAAGACUGUUCAAGGUUUAAGGGGAGCCGAAGAGCUGCAGCUCUAUAUACAAAACACCAGGGACAAUACAUCAAGAACCAGGGGGGCAUUCAGGUCUAACAGGCCUGGGAGAGGAACUAAUUGGUGGUCAGAUUGUACUGUCAUAUGUUUCAAGUGCAAAGAGGAUGGUCAUAUGGCAAAGGACUGGAUGAAUCAUUGAAGGACGAACCUAUGGAAUGCAAUAUGGGCAAAGAUGAGGGAGCACAUUCAUUUUUGUUCAACUGUUAUGGUGCUGUUAACAAUGACCAUGAUAAUAACCCUCAUAAAUGCUAUGCAACUGUCAAUGGAAAAAUGUCUAAGGCAUUACAUGAUUCAGGUAGUAUGGUUACGUUGGUAGCAGAGUCUAUAAUACCUUGUGUAAAACCUGAUCAUGUUAAGAAAAUAGGCAUUAUUUGUGUCCAUGGUGAUAAAAGAGAAUACCCCACUGCAGAAGUAAAUAUUGGAACCCAGUAUAGAGAUUUAAAGUACCGAGUGGGUGUAGUACCUAGAUUAGCCCAUGAGGUAGUGAUCGGUAGAGACUCCUCAUUUUCUAGAAUUAUGGGCAGCUGUACAAAAGACAAACCAAAGUUUAUCAGAAAUUAGUCAAUCUGCCGAGGAUAAUGUGUUCCCUUUUACCGAUAUUGACUUGGGUUUUGACCACUGUGACAGACAAAUAAGAAAAAGUAAAAGAUACUGCCCUAAACCAGUAUUAUUAGGAGAUAACCCAGCUCAAACUAGUGAGGAGCCUACUAAUACUUCAGACAAGGACGAUGACUUAAUUGAUAUUGGCAUCAGUCCGAGUAAUUUUAAAAGCGCACAGUGGGAAGAUCUCACUUUAGUGACAGCUAUAAAUGAUAUUAAUCAGCCAGGUGAAGCACUGCCGUUCCCCUAUUUUGAAGUACAAAUGACCUAAUUUACAGCGUAGAAAAGAAGGAUUCAGAUAUCAUUAAGCAGCUGUUGGUUCCCCAGACUUACCAAAACACAGUACUAAAGUUGGCUCACAGCCACAUAUUAGGGGGACACUUGGGAGUCGAAAAAACGAGAGAGAGAGUCCUUAGAAGGUUUCACUGGCCUGGAGUUUUUGCUGCUAUAACAAACUAUUGUGCCUCAUUUCCUGAGUGCCAGUACAGGACUCCUUUCAAGACUUUUCAUAGUCCACUUGUACCCUUACCCAUAAUUGAUGUGCCUUUUGAAAGGAUCGCUAUGGACUUAGUGGGGCCACUGGUAAAGUCCGCUAGGGGGCACUAGUAUAUACUAGUCAUCUUGGACUAUGCAACUUGCUACCCUGAGACCAUCCUCUUGCGUAAUACCUCUGCAAGGUUAAUAGCUAAGGAACCUAUGUUAAUGUUCAGUAGGGUGGGUAUCCCUAAAGAAAUCCUGACAGACCAGGGGCUCUUGCAGGUUAAACAUCUGAAGACCUCAGUAUAUCACCCACAGACUGAUGGUUUAGUACAGAGGUUCAACAAAACCCUUAAGAGUAUGCUAUGUAAGGUAACUGAUGCAAAUGAAAAAAAUUGGGAUUUUUUUUAUUGCCAUAUCUACUGUUUUCCAUUAGAGAAAUUCCAC